GGGAUGGUUUGAGAACUUUAAAAAUCGCUGCUGUUUUGCAACAUACGAAGUUGAUGGGGAGGAGGGACCCUUAAAUCCUGAGUGGGCAUCGAGUAUUCCAAGCAACUGGAGAGAGGCUUUGUGCCUCAACAGGUCUUCAACGCCAAGGAGAUGACCCAUCUUUUGCAGUGCGUGCCUUCCUGCUUUUGGGACAAAAGACAAAAAUCUGGAAAGCUUAGGGGAAGCUAAGGACAGGAUUUCCCUCAUUUUUUGUGGCAGUGCCUCAGGUGACAAAAUGAUAAAACCACUGCUGCUUUACAAAGACUAUAAUCCCCCACUUGUCUUUUAGAGAUAAACGCCUUCCUGUUUUCUUGUGAUCACAUCCAGAAUCACCACUGCCACUUUUUGGAUUAGUUUUACAAUUUUUUUUAUCUAUCAAGUCCGAAGUCAUUUAACAAAAAAAAAUCUGGAGAUCAGAAUGUUGCUAACUGUGGACAGAGGUCCCAAUCAUCCAGAUUCAUUAUUCUUUGUUCAUUCUAAUGUCGAUAUUGUGUUUCUCCCUCAGGAAGGCCCUAGCUUUCUUCAGCCCUUGGGUCAGGGUAUAACUGAAGCAUUUGGGAGGUAUUACACCAAGCAUAUGUUUGACCACUUUGCUGACUGUAUUGAAAAAAACCCUCGCCUUACUCUGAAAGAAACAUGGCAACAGUACAAUAUUGCCGAUGUUUUGGUAGUGAUAAAAGAGGUGAUGGGUGAUAUAGAAUCAGCCACUCUUAAGCUUGAUGGAAACUGUGGGAGGAUGUGUGAAUGAUGCAUAUUUCUCUAGAGCUAAUGAAGAAGUUAAAAAAUCUAAGUGUCUGCAAAACAGGUGGGUUUAAGAUUCAUUGAUAUUAGGGAAAGUGAAAUUAAUGAGCUACUCAAGUUUCAGUCUUUGGUCAUCACUGAGAGUCUAUGUCCAUAGGAAGAAGUCUUUGCAGAGGAAAUUGAAUACUGUCUGAUGCUACAAUUCAUAUGGACCCUUUCCUGGAUUGAAGCUUGACUUUUUUAAAAAAGGUUUCAAUAAAUUGCUUAUACCUAUGAAGAGAUGCAAAAGAACCUUCAAAAUAAAGCAAAGGACUUGAAGAAAGAGAAGGAAGACAUGAAGAAGAGGAUGUCAUUUAGGUGAAGGUGAUGGAUACAGAAUCUGAGUCUGAGGGGAAGUCUGACUCUGAAUCAGGAUCUGAUAAGGAGCAGGAGAAGAUGGAGGAUAAGAAGCUGCCAGAAGAAAAGCCUGGAUCCUGUGGCAUAGCACUCAGAGUCUUGAUAUGUCUGAAGAAACUGUCCAAGCCAUUAAUGUGAACUUGAACUUUUGGAAUGUAACCUUUGAAGUGAAUCUGGAGAGUAGAGGUACCUGAGUUGAAGGACAAAGAGGUUCCAGAGGCCAUCCUUCCCUUGUUACUCCAACAUCACUUUCAUAACUACCAUCACCCUUUUCAUCACCAGCCACACAUCCCUAUCAUUUAGUCAUGUAACAAACAUUGAUUGAGCUUAAACUCUGCAGGGUCCUGAGCUAAACUUGGGGACAUCAGCUCAGGAAAUCAUCUCAGGAUCUGAGGGCCAUGCUGGAUAAGGAACUGGCUGCCUCUGUGAACAUCCUACUCAAGGCAUCUUCACUUUAAUGAAGAAAAAGACUUCCAGGGUCUUCAUGCUGUCCAUCUACACCAGGCUGUACAUCCUUUUGAAAUCCCAGAGGUCUUCAGUCUCCCUGUGGAUUAAGGAGAUGUGCAGUAUUUAAAGUAGCUUCAGGAAGGCAUGGAAGAGGACUGAGUGCGGAAAGCUUUUUGUGCAUGCUGCUGGCCACCUCCAGCGGCUGCCUCCAGCCUCCAUCAGCUGCACUCUGGGGAAGAGGAGGCUGCCUUCUACCUCUCAGCAUCUCUGGAUUUCAUGUUCCUGUCAGCACAGAGGAGCUAAAUGGCCUUUAGAGGCUGAAGGUCUGAGGCUCCUAAAGCUGGAAGAAAAGGCUGGGCCAGUCAGGCCAAGCAAGAACACAGUGUAACUUGUCUCUGAGUGCUUCAUGGUUAAGGGGGAUAAGUGGGCACAAGGGCACAAGGAUGGUUAUAUGUAGAGACUGAGGGGAAGAAGCAGUGAGGAUGAGACUUGUCAUCUUCUUGAGUCAGUAGGCCUGCCUCAGGUGCCUAGGAUGUAAUUGCUCUGCUGCUUCUCAUGGGGAGGAGUGGCCCUCAUGACCUUGUUUACCUGGAAAAGUGUGGGAUGAAUGCCUCCUCCUAUGGGGAGUGGCAAGUGCUUUAGCAAAAGGAUAAAUUGCUAAUGGUGGCAUUUCAUGGAUCAGCAGGAUUAUUUCUCCUUGCUAAAGAGGAUUUUGUUGGUCCUGAACUCUGAGGAGGUGGGACUAGGAAUGGGCUCCAUGAGCCUGUGUAUGACUCAGGGAAUAUUAGGACUUUGGCACAGCCUCAUGGGUUGGGAGUAAGUGGCUCUUCCCUAGCCUGAAUGACAGACAUCAGAUCAUUCUGGUGCUUUGUCAGUGAAGAUGUAGAUUCUGAGCCCACCAAACUAACCUUUUCACUUGAGCACAGAAAACAGCCCCGGGAAUCGGACAGACCCCUGUCUUUCAGGUUUGCUUCACAGAGCCCCAGGGGUUGACAAUAGGUGCCUUGGAGACUGCCUGCAUGGGGAUUUUUAAAAAGCUUUCUUUGUUAAAGGUUUGUAAACCACCCCUCUGAGCCAGUUUUCAUUUUAUAGAUUACUGCAGGAAACUGAACUGCACAGAGGUCCAGAAAGUGGGUAGUGCAGGCUGUAGUGCUGAUAACUACUGUACUACUUGGAUCUUUGUGCUCCCAAAUACCAAAUGGAAGAGGAUCUCUGAGAGUCCUUUGCAAAGAUCUUGUAGGGACUUUAGGCUGGGGCCUUUGGAAAAUUCCAGAGGAUUCCAAUGGAGAUUUUGAGGGACUGCCUCAGAGGAACAAAGAGAAUGAUAAUGAUGAUGUCCCUGCUUUUUACAACAGAUCAUGUUCUGAUAUAUAUGCAAAUCUGUGUAAAGUAAACCCUACCUAAAAUGUACUGGGGACCCAAGACAGACUGCCUGUAUUGCUUCCAGGAUAAAGUCCAAUUUCUAGCUCUGGUUUUUAUAACCUUGCUUCAGCUCACCUUUUCCGUCAUCACCCCCUGCAUCUCCUCUCCCACGCUGGAAAAUGGAUGGCUCCACUAUACUGUGUGAUGUUAUUGCUAUGUUCAUGCCAUCCCCUCUGCCUGGAAUGCCCUUCUGCAUGAAUGCCUGUGAAAUGCUGUUGCUCCUUUGUAUGGCCUGGCUUCCGUGGUUGGCAGGAAUCUCUUCUUUUGUGGUAUUCCUGUCAUCUUUGUGCAUCACAGUCAGCUUUGUAUUCUUAGCUUGUAAGCUACUUGAGGAUAGGGGCAUGUCUGAAUCUAUUUAAUCUCUUGCACUUAUUUGGCAAAUUGAUGUUUUAAGUAUUUAAAUAACUAAAGCUCUCUCUACAGUACAUACUCACUUUUGAUUUAUGGAAUUGGCAAAAUUCAACUUUUUUCCUUGAAUAUUCUUAAAGUGAGACUAAUUCCAAAGGAGAUUGUUCUGUCUGUGGCCUUCAUUGAGUGGUUUUCUGUUACCAGAAAGCUCUUGGUGGCCUUCCUCUUCCCUGGCGUCAAGGUUGACUGUUAUAGGAAAUGGGAGGGGAGAGGGCCGUUUCUGCCACGCAUUGUCCUAGGUUCUUAACAUUAUUUAAUCCUUAUAAUGCAAUGUUAUCCUUAUUUUACAGAUGAAACCUGAGACCAAAGAACAUGUAACACAUAAAGUACAUUGCAGUUAGGAUGUGAACCCAACUCUGAUUCUAAACCUAAUGCUCUUACUCUUUCAUUCAGAGGUUCAGUCAGUUCUUUGCAGGCCGUAGAUCCAGAGAAGCUGCCGUAGCCAACAACAAAGUUGUUAGUUUUUAAAACAUCUAUGUGGUAAGUUGGUCUGGCACUUAAAAAUGUAUUGUUUCCCGGGCACGGUGGCUCACACCUGUAAUCCCAGCAUUUUGGGAGGCCGAGGCAGGCGGAUGGAUCAUUAGGUCAAAAGAUCGAGACCAUCCUGACCAACAUGGUGAAACCCCGUCUCUACUAAAAAUACAAAAAUUAGCUGGGUGUGGUGGCGCAUGCCUCUAGUCCUGGCUACUUGGGAGGCUGAGGCAGGAGAAUCGCUUGAACCCAGGAGGCAGAGGUUGCAGUGAGCCAAGAUCAUGCUACUGCACUACAGCCUGGCAACAAAGCGAGACUCUGCCUUAAAAAAAAAAGAAAAAAAAAAAAUAUAUAUAUAUAUACACACACACACACACACACAUAUACAUAUAGUUUACUACUCACCACAGAUCUGCAGGAGUUCACUGAUCUCUAGGAUCUGCCUUAACUCCAACUUACAUGUUUUGGUCACUAUUACAAACUGUCAUCCCAGAAUGAUGCUACAGAGGCUAGGGCUAGGACACAGACCAGUGUUUCCAUGUGGGAAUUCCCUCCCAGUAUUUCUUAGGAAAUGUAUGUUUUUUGAAUCCAUAAUCCCUAGAAAAAUCAGUUGAGGAAAUGAGAAGUAUUGUAAUUAUUCUGUGAAUAGUAACACUUACCAUUAUGGAGACAUCACUAGUUUGAAAGAAUCCAACUUCAUCAAAUACUAACAUACUGAGUUGAAGGCUACAAGAACUGAGACAGGAGCAUAGCAGAGAGAAAUGGUCACCAUCUAAUUAGCCCCAUUUUUGGUUGUUGUGAUGCCAUUACAUCUGUAUAUCUGGCCAUAUCAGCUGCUAAUGGUGAGUUCUUGCAACUAAAAUGAUUUGAUAAACAACCUAGCAUACUUUAUACAAAUCUUACGGUGUUCCGAGAAAUAAACUUUGGAAGCAAAAUAA